GGGGCUAUACAUGCCAAGUCGAACGAGCUCUCCCAAAUUGAUUUUAUGCUUGCAUAAAUGAUUUUUGGAUUCGGAGCGAGUGGCGAACUGGUGAGUAACACGUGGGUAACCUGCCCCAAAGCGGGGGAUAACAUUUGGAAACAAGUGCUAAUACCGCAUAAUUAGUUGGAACCGCAUGGUUCCAACUUGAAAGAUGGCUCUGCUAUCACUUUGGGAUGGACCCGCGCCGUAUUAGUUAGUUGGUGAGAUAAAAGCCCACCAAGACGAUGAUACGUAGCCGACCUGAGAGGGUAAUCGGCCACAUUGGGACUGAGACACGGCCCAGACUCCUACGGGAGGCAGCAGUAGGGAAUCUUCCACAAUGGACGAAAGUCUGAUGGAGCAACGCCGCGUGAGUGAUGAAGGUUUUCGGAUCGUAAAACUCUGUUGUUAAAGAAGAACAAGUGUUAGAGUAACUGUUAACACUUUGACGGUAUUUAACCAGAAAGCCACGGCUAACUACGUGCCAGCAGCCGCGGUAAUACGUAGGUGGCAAGCGUUGUCCGGAUUUAUUGGGCGUAAAGCGAGCGCAGGCGGUUUUGUAAGUCUGCUGUGAAAGCCCUCAGCUUAACUGAGGAAGUGCAGUGGAAACUACAAAACUUGAGUACAGAAGAGGAAAGUGGAACUCCAUGUGUAGCGGUGAAAUGCGUAGAUAUAUGGAAGAACACCAGUGGCGAAGGCGGCUUUCUGGUCUGUUACUGACGCUGAGGCUCGAAAGCAUGGGUAGCGAACAGGAUUAGAUACCCUGGUAGUCCAUGCCGUAAACGAUGAAUACUAGGUGUUGGAGGGUUUCCGCCCUUCAGUGCCGCAGCUAACGCAUUAAGUAUUCCGCCUGGGGAGUACGACCGCAAGGUUGAAACUCAAAGGAAUUGACGGGGGCCCGCACAAGUGGUGGAGCAUGUGGUUUAAUUCGAUGCCUACGCGAAGAACCUUACCAGCUCUUGACAUCUUUCUGCCCAACCCAAGAGAAUUGGGCCGUUCCCCUUUCGGGGAACAGAAAUGACAGGGUGGGUGCCAUGGUUUGUUCGCUCAGCCUCUCGNGUGUUCGGUGAAGAANNNUUGGGNUAANNUCCCGNCAANCGAGAGNGGCGCCNCAAACNCCGCCUUCUGUAUA
rnacentral:rRNA from 2 species